AUGUGUUGGGGACCACAGUGGGAGCACUACAACUCACCUGCAGGUGACAAGAAACUGCCAUGUCGUCUCCUCAAUGUCAUCUCUGUGUGUUGGGACCACGGUGUGACCUCCUCAACCAUUUGUGGGUGACAGGGACCACCAUGUCACCUCCUCAAUGCCAUCUCCAUCUGCUGGGACCACCGUGGGACCUCCACAACUGCCUACAGGUGACAGAGACCCCUGUGUCACCUCCUGAUGACCAUCUGUGUGUGUUGGGGACCACAGUGGGAGGACCAUAACCACCUACAGGUGACAGAGACCGCUGUGUCAUCUCAAUGUCAUCUCUGUGUUGGGCCCGCAGUGGGUCCUCCAAGUCCCUGUGGGUGACAGGGACCACCGUGUCACCUCCUCAUCACCUCCUCCUUGCAUUGGGACCACCGUGUGACCACCACAACCAUUUGUGGGUGACGGGGACCCCCGUGUCACCUCCUCGAUGCCAUCUCCAUCUGUUGGGACCACAGUGGGACCUCCACCACUGCCUACAAGCAACAGGGACCCCCGUGUCACCUCCUCGAUGCCAUCUCCAUCUGCUGGGACCACAGUGUGACCUCCACAACCAUUUGUGGGUGACAGGGACCCCCGUGUCACCUCUUGUUCCCCAUCUCCAUGCGUUGGGGCCACCGUGUGACCUCCACAACCAUUUGUGGGUGACGGGGACCCCCAUGUCCCCUCC
rnacentral:lncRNA from 1 species